rnacentral:misc_RNA from 1 species
GAUGAAGAACGUAGCGAAAUGCGAUACGUAAUGUGAAUUGCAAAUUCAGUGAAUCAUCGAGUCUUUGAACGCACAUUGCGCCCCCUGGUAUUCCGGGGGGCAUGCCUGUCCGAGCGUCAUUGCUGCCCUCAAGCACGGCUUGUGUGUUGGGCCCCGUCCUCCGAUUCCGGGGGACGGGCCCGAAAGGCAGCGGCGGCACCGCGUCCGGUCCUCGAGCGUAUGGGGCUUUGUCACCCGCUCUGUAGGCCCGGACGGCGCUUGCCGAUCAACCCAAAUUUUUAUCCAGGUUGACCUCGGAUCAGGUAGGGAUACCCGCUGAACUUAAGCAUAUCAAUAAGCGGAGGA